CCCCUCGGGAAAGCCUUCUUCGGGAAGCGAGUAAAGUGGCGAACGGGUGAGUAAUACGUAAGAACCUGCCCUUUGGAUCGGGAUAACAUCGCGAAAGUGAUGCUAAUACCGGAUGAUGUCUACGGACUAAAGGGGGCUUCGGCUUCCACCUAAGGAGGGGCUUGCGUCCCAUUAGCUUGUUGGUGAGGUAAUGGCUCACCAAGGCUAUGAUGGGUAGCCGUCCUGAGAGGGUGCACGGCCACACUGGAACUGAGACACGGUCCAGACUCCUACGGGAGGCAGCAGUAGGGAAUAUUGGGCAAUGGGCGAAAGCCUGACCCAGCAAUGCCUUGUGGGUGAAGAAGGCUUUCCAGAGGGG
rnacentral:rRNA from 1 species